rnacentral:rRNA from 1 species
UACGUAGGGCGCAAGCGUUAUCCGGAAUUAUUGGGCGUAAAGAGCUCGUAGGCGGUUUGCCGCGUCUGCCGUGAAAGUCCGGGGCUCAACUCCGGAUCUGCGGUGGGUACGGGCAGACUAGAGUGAUGUAGGGGAGACUGGAAUUCCUGGUGUAGCGGUGAAAUGCACAGAUAUCAGGAGGAACACCGAUGGCGAAGGCAGGUCUCUGGGCAUUAACUGACGCUGAGGAGCGAAAGCAUGGGGAGCGAACAGG